CGGGUGAGUAACACGUGGUCAACCUUCCCUACAGUGGGGGAUAACUAGCCGAAAGGUUAGCUAAUACCGCAUAACAUCUACGAGUGGCAUCAUUUGUAGAUCAAAGGAGCAAUCCGCUGAGGACGGGACCGCGUCCCAUUAGUUAGUUGGUGGGGUAAUGGCCUACCAAGACUCCGAUGGGUAGCUGGUUUGAGAGAGCGACCAGCCACACUGGGACUGAGAAACGGCCCAG
rnacentral:rRNA from 1 species